AUUUUUCCAGCAAGAAACUGAUUAAAGUUGUACGGGCUUAUGUUAUCCCAAUUUCACCUUCUUUACAAGUGAAUGAUAUUAUAAGAAGUGAUAUGUGUAAAACUUACGGCUUUAUUAAAAUUGGAGAAGCAGUUCCUGAUAAUGUUACGCUCAAAGACAUCAUUACAACCCUCCCGAAAAAGGUAUUUGAGAUUGAUGAUGUUAAAGCCUGGAGAUCUGUUUUGGUGUCUUUUGUUUCUUAUGCUUUGGGAAUUUGGAUGAUUACAAAAGCUCCAUGGUACUUGCUCCCGCUUGCAUGGGCAUGGACCGGAACUGCUGUUACGGGGUUCUUUGUGGUAGGCCAUGAUUGUGCGCAUAGGUCCUUCUCAAGGAAUAAAUUGGUGGAAGACAUAGUUGGAACUCUGGCUUUUUUGCCUCUUAUUUAUCCAUAUGAACCGUGGCGCUUCAAACAUGACAAGCAUCAUGCCAAAACAAACAUGUUAUUAGAGGAUACUGCCUGGCAUCCCAUUUUAAAAGAGGAAAUUGAUGCAUCCCCAUCUCUGAGGAAGGCAAUAAUCUUCGGUUAUGGUCCACUUCGACCUUGGAUGUCAAUAGCUCAUUGGUUGAUGUGGCACUUUGAUUUAAGAAAGUUCAAACCAAAUGAAGUUGGACGUGUUAAGAUAAGUUUGGCAUGUGUCUUUGCUUUCAUUAUGAUUGGGUGGCCGCUGAUUAUUUAUAAGGCUGGUAUUGCGGGAUGGAUCAAGUUAUGGUUCAUGCCAUGGCUAGUAUAUCACUUUUGGAUGAGUACUUUCACUAUGGUUCAUCACACUGCUCCUCACAUACCUUUCAAGGCUUCAGAUGAAUGGAAUGCUGCUCAAGCCCAACUUAAUGGAACAGUCCACUGUAACUACCCUCGAUGGAUAGAGAUUCUAUGCCAUGAUAUCAAUGUGCAUAUUCCCCAUCACAUUUCUCCAAGGAUUCCAUCCUACAACCUUCGGGAGGCACAUCGUUCACUCCAAGAGAACUGGGGCAAGUAUCUGAAUGAAGCCAAUUGGAACUGGCGUUUGAUGAAAACGAUAAUGACCACUUGUCAUGUAUACAACAAGGAAAGGUUCUAUUUUCCCUUCGACAAGAUUGCUCCGGAAGAGGCGCAGCCAGUUACAUUCCUCAGAAAGUUCAUGCCAGAUUAUGCAUAGUCUGUUUCAUUCUUUGAUGCCAGCAUGCGAGAGGAGAGCAGCUAAGGGAAAGAAUGUUUUCCUUCUUUGGGAUUGUGAUUGUGGGCUUCGAAUUUUUGAAUGAUAUCGCUAGGAUGAGAAGUUAAGGAUGCUGGGAAGAGAUUGAGCCGAUGACUUCGGAAGCAGGCAACAUAUGUUAGUGCAGGAGAUGUUGGCUCACGCAUGGGUGGAUGACAAUAAUAGGAGUCUGGGCGGCAAGCAGUGGCGGAUACCUAUCAUUUUUUUAGAGUCGGCAUAUGAGCGCAUUUAUAUUUUUCCAUCCUGUAAAUUGAGUGCGCUAAUUGCUUGCCAAUUUCGACGGGGGGGUGUGACGGAAAUAGACUGCAACAGUCAACAAUGCUUAGAGGGUUGUUGAUGGGCCGCUGUUGUAGCUUCUAGGUUUAUAUGUGAGGGUUGCGAUCGGGCCGUGAGUUCACUUAAAUCAAAAUUUUCUGUGAAGUUGAUAUUGGUUUGCUGCAUCGUCCUUUGCAAGCUCGAUGGUCACCGGCCAGUUCGUUGACCAUCCAUCCUCAGCUCAAGUUGGGUCCUCAAGGUCCUAUGUAUAAACCUCAAGGACUUUCUGGACAAGUAUGGAAGCUUUGUCAAGCUAGUCAACCAGAUAUAUCCAGGCUCCAGUCUCAGAGAUGAGAGAGCUUCUUGCUCAAAUGUAGAUUUAAUAAAAAAGAAAAAAAAGAAUUGUGGGCUUUUUUGUUCCUUGGUGGCUGCUGCUCGAUUACUUUUCUUGUUGUUUUAUUGUCUACAUAUCAGCCCCACCCUUUUCUUUUACCUCAUCCUCAUGAAACAAUAAUAAUAAUGAUAUUUUAGGCUAAAA